rnacentral:lncRNA from 1 species
GGGGCGGCGAGGCCGGGGCCGCCCGCUCCGCAGCCAGCGGCGGAGCCACGCUGAUCGGCGCAGCCUGGCCGCGGUGCUCCCGGCGGGGUGACCGCCCCUCGGCAGCGGGCGCCGCUGAGGCAGGU